AUACGUAGGGUGCAAGCGUUAAUCGGAAUUACUGGGCGUAAAGCGUGCGCAGGCGGUUUUGUAAGACCGCGGUGAAAUCCCCGGGCUCAACCUGGGAACUGCCAUUGUGACUGCAAGGCUGGAGCCCGGCAGAGGGGGAUGGAAUUCCGCGUGUAGCCGUGAAAUGCGUAGGUAUGCGGAGGAUCACCGAUGGCGAAGGCAAUCCCCUGGGCCUGCACGGGCGCUCAUACACGAAUGCGUAGGGAGCAAACAGGAUUACAUACCCUAGUAGUCCACUCCCUAAACGAUGUCAACUGGUUAUUUAGGAUUUAUUUUCUAGUUAAUGUACGUAAGACGUGUACGGAACCGCCUUGCCUCUUCGGUCUUAAGGCUGAUGCUGAAACGAAUUAACGAGG
rnacentral:rRNA from 1 species